rnacentral:rRNA from 1 species
GACGGAGGAUGCGAGCGUUAUCCGGAUUUAUUGGGUUUAAAGGGAGCGCAGACGGGUCGUUAAGUCAGCUGUGAAAGUUUGGGGCUCAACCUUAAAAUUGCAGUUGAUACUGGCGUCCUUGAGUGCGGUUGAGGUGUGCGGAAUUCGUGGUGUAGCGGUGAAAUGCUUAGAUAUCACGAAGAACUCCGAUUGCGAAGGCAGCACACUAAGCCGUAACUGACGUUCAUGCUCGAAAGCGUGGGGAGCAAACAGGAUUAGAUACCCCUG